rnacentral:misc_RNA from 1 species
UUAGGGUUCUAUUGGGUUUGGAUUGGAUACCAGGCCAACAAAAAAUGGGCCUUAAAAAACAACCCAACCCAAAUUCGCAAGGCCGGAUAUCCAAUCCAAACCCAAUAGAACCCUAACUCCAGAUCCGACCCACAUGAGAGGAAGGGCUCAGUGGUUGGUAGAAACAACAUCACUCCUCCACAAACCAAAACCAGAUAGUUCACCCUUGAAAAAACAAGCAGACAGAUGAAGCACUAGGAAUCGACUAAUAAGGUUAACGUAAAAGAGGAUUCCUUAUAUAAAACUUCUCCAAGAGGUUAAGCUGCUAAGAGGGACCCCAAGAGCAUC